rnacentral:rRNA from 1 species
UACGUAGGGUGCAAGCGUUAUCCGGAAUCACUGGGCGUAAAGCGUGCGUAGGCGGAAGCUUAAGUGUGAUGUUAAAUCGUGGGGCUCAACCCCGUCGAUGCAUCGCAUACUGGGCUUCUAGAGGACGGCAGAGGCAAGUGGAACUCGUAGUGUAGCAGUGAAAUGCGUAGAUAUUACGAAGAACACCAAUGGCGAAGGCAGCUUGCUGGGCCGCCCCUGACGCUGAGGCACGAAAGCGUGGGGAGCGAACAGG